rnacentral:tRNA from 1 species
GGAGGAAUGGUCGAGUGGUUAAAGGCGCCGGUCUUGAAAAUCGGAAACGUAUAAUUAAAGAUACGUUCUAGAGUUCGAAUCUCUAUUCCUCCU